UAAAAGCGGAGGAAAAGAAACUAACAAGGAUUCCCCUAGUAGCGGCGAGCGAAGCGGGAAGAGCUCAAAUUUAUAAUCUGGCACCUUCGGUGUCCGAGUUGUAAUCUCUAGAAGUGUUUUCCGCGUUGGACCGCACACAAGUCUGUUGGAAUACAGCGGCAUAGUGGUGAAACCCCCGUAUAUGGUGCGGACGCCCAGCGCUUUGUGAUACACUUUCAAUGAGUCGAGUUGUUUGGGAAUGCAGCUCAAAUUGGGUGGUAAAUUCCAUCUAAAGCUAAAUAUUGGCGAGAGACCGAUAGCGAACAAGUACCGUGAGGGAAAGAUGAAAAGCACUUUGGAAAGAGAGUUAACAGUACGUGAAAUUGUUGGAAGGGAAACGCUUGAAGUCAGACUUGCUUGCCGGAGCUUGCUUCGGUUUGCAGGCCAGCAUCAGUUUUCCGGGGUGGAUAAUGACGGUUUGAAGGUAGCAGUCUCGGCUGUGUUAUAGCUUUCCGUUGGAUACAUCCUGGGGGACUGAGGAACGCAGCGUGCUUUUUGCGAAAGACUCGUCUUUUUCACGCUUAGGAUGCUGGUGGAAUGGCUUUAAACGACCCGUCUUGAAAC
rnacentral:rRNA from 1 species